rnacentral:rRNA from 1 species
CCUACGGGCGGCUGCAGUGGGGAAUAUUGGACAAUGGGGGCAACCCUGAUCCAGCCAUGCCGCGUGUGUGAAGAAGGCCCUCGGGUUGUAAAGCACUUUCAGUGAGGAAGAACGCCUGGUGGUUAAUACCCAUCAGGAAAGACAUCACUCACAGAAGAAGCACCGGCUAACUCCGUGCCAGCAGCCGCGGUAAUACGGAGGGUGCGAGCGUUAAUCGGAAUUACUGGGCGUAAAGCGCGCGUAGGUGGCUUGAUAAGCCGGUUGUGAAAGCCCCGGGCUCAACCUGGGAACGGCAUCCGGAACUGUCAAGCUAGAGUGCGGGAGAGGAAGGUAGAAUUCCCGGUGUAGCGGUGAAAUGCGUAGAGAUCGGGAGGAAUACCAGUGGCGAAGGCGGCCUUCUGGACUGACACUGACACUGAGGUGCGAAAGCGUGGGUAGCAAACAGGAUUAGAUACCCUGGUAGUC